CGGCCAGACUCCUACGGGAGGCAGCAGUGGGGAAUAUUGCACAAUGGGGGAAACCCUGAUGCAGCGACGCCGCGUGAAGGAAGAAGUAUUUCGGUAUGUAAACUUCUAUCAGCAGGGAAGAAAAUGACGGUACCUGACUAAGAAGCCCCGGCUAACUACGUGCCAGCAGCCGCGGUAAUACGUAGGGGGCAAGCGUUAUCCGGAUUUACUGGGGGUAAAGGGAGCGUAGACGUCUAUGCAAGUCUUGAGUGAAGGGCGGGGCCCCAACCCCCGGACUGCUCUGGAAACUGUAGAGCUAGAGUGCAGUAGAAGUAAGUGGAAUUCCUAGUGUAGCGGUGAAAUGCGUAGAUAUUAGGAGGAACACCAGUGGCGAAGGCGGCUUACUGGACUGUAACUGACGUUGAGGCUCGAAAGCGUGGGGAGCAAACAGGAUUAGAUACCCCUGUA
rnacentral:rRNA from 1 species